UGCACGUAGGCGGAGACAGCUCCUCCGGAUCGGCUAAGGUCUGGUUCCACGCGUUAAGGCUCUGUUGACGCGGACCGGCGCUGGAGAGCCAAGCGCUCGGUGUGUGGUCGCUGUCUGCCUCCAGCAGCGGCUACAUAGUCCCUAGCAGACUGAGAAAUGAGAAAAAUACCAAACCAUGGGACCCUGCGGAUGACGAAGGUGGCGUAUCCCCUGGGACUGUGCGUGGGCCUGUUCAUCUAUGUUGCCUAUAUCAAGUGGCACCGGGCCUCCGCCGCCCAGGCCUUCUUCACCAUUGCUGGGGCUGCAUCGGGAGCGCGGUGGACCCAACAGGCCUUCAGCUCCCCAGACUCAGCCACACGUGGUCACGAGGUCUUCUAUGGGAUCAUGUUUGAUGCGGGGAGUACCGGCACCCGCAUCCACGUCUUCCAGUUUGCCCGGCCACCUGGAGAAACUCCCACCUUGACCCACGAAACCUUCAAAGCUCUGAAGCCUGGGCUUUCUGCGUAUGCCGAUGAUGUUGAAAAGAGCGCCCAGGGGAUCCAGGAGCUUCUGAAUGUCGCCAAGCAACACAUUCCAUACGACUUCUGGAAGGCCACCCCUCUGGUUCUCAAGGCCACAGCUGGUCUGCGCCUGCUGCCGGGAGAAAAGGCUCAGAAGUUGCUGCAAAAGGUGAAGGAGGUGUUUAAGGCAUCACCCUUCCUUGUAGGGGAUGACUGUGUUUCCAUCAUGAAUGGCACAGAUGAAGGUGUUUCGGCUUGGAUCACUGUCAACUUCCUGACAGGCAGUCUGAAGGCCCCAGGAAGCAGCAGUGUGGGCAUGCUGGACCUGGGCGGAGGAUCCACUCAGAUCACCUUCCUGCCACGUGUCGAGGUAACCAGCCCUGCCUGCCUCACCAGGGUACCCUGCAGGCCUCCCCGCCCGGCCACCUGACAGCGCUGCAGAUGUUUAACAGGACUUUCAAGCUGUAUUCCUACAGCUACCUAGGGCUGGGACUGAUGUCGGCACGACUGGCUAUCUUGGGUGGUGUGGAGGGGAAACCUGCUGAGGAUGACAAGGAACUGGUCAGCCCCUGUCUGUCUCCCCGGUUCAGAGGAAAGUGGGAGCACGCGGAGGUCACCUAUAGGAUUUCAGGACAGAAGGCAGUGGGCCUCUACGAGCUGUGUGCCAGCAGGGUAUCAGAAGUCCUCCGCAAUAAAGUACACAGGACAGACGAGGCGCAGCACGUGGACUUCUAUGCGUUUUCCUACUACUACGACCUUGCCGCCAGCUUUGGCCUUAUAGAUGCAGAGAAAGGAGGCAGCCUUGUAGUUGGAGACUUUGAGAUAGCAGCCAAGUAUGUCUGCCGCACUCUGGAGACACAGCCUCCAAGCAGCCCCUUUGCUUGCAUGGACCUCACCUACAUCAGCCUCCUGCUCCACGAGUUUGGUUUCCCCGGGGACAAGGUGCUGAAGCUGGCUCGGAAAAUUGACAACGUUGAAACCAGCUGGGCUCUGGGGGCUAUUUUUCAUUACAUCGACUCCCUGAAGAGACAGAAGGUUCCUGCCUUGUAGCAGCCGCGAACUAGUCCCCACCCUAGCCAGAUUUCCGAGGCUCCCAACUCCACGGACCCCUCUGUCUUGGAAGUGACACCAUCCUUGAGGAGCCUGCAACUGGUUGAGACCCGCCUCGUGCCUGCAGUGUCAUCUCCUGCAGAUUCGCCUGGGACAUGACCCAUGUACUGGCUCUGCUACACCACACUAGCUGGGGCAGGGCCAGGGUAGGAAUGCUGCCUGGCCUGAGGCCAUCUCCCUGUCUUACCUCCAAGUGGGCAGGGAGCCAGCUGGGGCCCAGGGCACAUGCUAAGGUAGAGACGCAGCCCUGCUCUUAUCCCGUCCGUGUGCAGGAUUGUGGCUGCUUUUGUGUGUUUCUGUGACUUGAGUCUUGUUUUGUCUCCCAGCCCCCGUCCCCUCCUGAGUCAGGCCUCUCUGCCUUCCCAGGGUUUGGGGAGAUGAGGUAAGCUGGCCCAAACGCAGUGCAAGGGGAGCACAUUUUGAGUGUGGCCAUCUCUUCCUCGGGAUAGACGUGAAGUUACCUGGAGGUUUGCUGUCCCACCUUUGGAUGGUAGAGCAUUCAUUGAUGUGGGGACAUUGAGUAGGAAGGAGAUGGGACAGUGCCUCUUGACAGACCCAGCGUGCCACCUUUGCAGAGCAUGUGGGUGUGAGCAGAGCUAUGAGAAUGUUCAGGGCUGCGUGCUCAAGUACUACCUUGCAAGCUGUGAGCGCUGUACGUUAAAACUGAGCCCCUCUUCUGGACACAACGGUGUCCCCGUGAAUGUAUUACUGCUAUGAGCCACUUGCAGACCAGUGGGGCAGAUUAGAAAGCUCAGCCCUGGAACCAGACUACCCCUCACCCCACCCCCUCACUUGGCUGCAGCUGGCUUCCCCGUGGUCCCCUCAGUGAAUGUACAGUUCAUAGAGUGAGCUGAGCCACCACCGUUCAACUCCAAAUAAAGGUUUACAAGGGUUUCU